AAUACGUUCCCGGGCCUUGUACACACCGCCCGUCACAUCACGAAAGUGGGUUGUACUAGAAGUCCUCACAAAGGCCCAAGGUAUGACUCAUGAUUUGGGGUG
rnacentral:rRNA from 1 species